rnacentral:rRNA from 1 species
UGUGUAGGCGGACUGGCGUGUCGAUGGUGAAAGCUCCCCGGCUUAACCGGGAAAGGGCUGUCGAAACUACCAGUCUUGAGGGCGGAAAAGGAAACUGGAACUUCCGGUGUAGCGGUAAAAUGCGUAGAUAUCGGAAGGAACGCCGAUAGCGAAGGCAGGUUUCUGGGACGUACCUGACGCUGAAACACGAAAGCUAGGGGAGCAAACAGGAUUAGAUACCCUGGUAGUCCUAGCUGUAAACGAUGUACAUUAGGCGUGGGGAUUUUUCCCCGUGCCGGAGCCAACGCGUUAAAUGUACCGCCUGGGGACUACGGCCGCAAGGUUGAA